GCAGCCGCGGUAAUACGAAGGGGGCUAGCGUUGCUCGGAAUCACUGGGCGUAAAGCGCACGUAGGCGGGCUUUUAAGUCGGGGGUGAAAUCCUGGAGCUCAACUCCAGAACUGCCUUUAAAACUGUUGGUCUGGAGUUCGAGAGAGGUGAGUGGAAUUCCGAGUGUAGAGGUGAAAUUCGUAGAUAUUCGGAGGAACACCAGUGGCGAAGGCGGCUCACUGGCUCGAUACUGACGCUGAGGUGCGAAAGCGUGGGGAGCAAA
rnacentral:rRNA from 1 species